rnacentral:rRNA from 1 species
GACGAACGCUGGCGGCGUGCUUAACACAUGCAAGUCGAACGGAAAGGCCCUGAGUUUGUGGGGUUCUCGAUUGGCGAAGGCGUGAGUAACACGUGAGUAACCUGCCCUUGACUUUGGGAGAACUUCAGGGAACUGGGGCUAAUAUCGGAGAGAAUCUACUGCUGCGUGGGGGGGGUUGGAAAGUGUCGGCGGUUGGGGAUGGACUCGCGGCUUAUGAGCUUGUUGGUGGGGUAGUGGAGUACCAAGGCUUUGACGGGUAGCCGGCCUGAGAGGGUGACCGGCGACCUUGCGCCUGCGAUACGGACCAGACUCCUAUGGGCGGCAGUAGUCGGGAACAUUGCACAAUGGGCGGACGUCUGAUGUAGCAACGUUGCGUGCGGGAUGCCCGCUUUCGGGUUGUAAACCGCUUUCGCAUGUGACGAAGCGUGCGUGACGGUAAUGGGUCAAGAAGCAACGGCUAACUACGUG